rnacentral:rRNA from 1 species
AGAUUGAACGCUAGCGGGAUGCUUUACACAUGCAAGUCGAACGGCAGCGCGGACUUCGGUCUGGCGGCGAGUGGCGAACGGGUGAGUAAUAUAUCGGAACGUGCCCAGUAGCGGGGGGAUAACUACGCGAAAGCGUGGCUAAUACCGCAUACGCCCUACGGGGGAAAGGGGGGGAUUCUUCGGGACCUCUCACUAUUGGAGCGGCCGAUAUCAGAUUAGCUAGUUGGUGAGGUAAAGGCUCACCAAGGCGACGAUCUGUAGCUGGUUUGAGAGGACGACCAGCCACACUGGGACUGAGACACGGCCCAGACUCCUACGGGAGGCAGCAGGUGGGAAUUUGGACAAGUGGGGGAAACCUGAGUCCAGUCCAUCCCGCGUGUCGCGACUGAAGGCCUUCGGUU